rfam:Sporothrix schenckii ATCC 58251 unplaced genomic scaffold supercont1.6, whole genome shotgun sequence.
GGUCCAGUGGCAAAAUAGCAACGUGCUUGGCUACGAACCAAGACAUUUCAGGUUCAAUACUUUCCUGGAUCG